rnacentral:sRNA from 1 species
AAAAAUACUUUUUAAAGUAUCAGAAGCUCAAUUCUACCACCAACAGGGUGGCUUAAAACAACAGAAAUUUAUUGUGUCAUUUCUGGAGACCAGAAGACGAAGACUAAGGUAUCGGCAGGACCAUGGCCCCUCUGAAGGCUCUGGGGGAGGGUCUUUCUUUGCCUCUUCCUUGCUUCUCUGGUGGUUGCCCACAGUCCUUGGUAUUCCUUGGCUUGUGGACACGUCACUCCAAUAUCUAUUUCCUUUGUCACAUGAUGUCUCCCUAUGUGUCUGACUAUGUCCCCAUUUCCCACUUCUCACAAGGACUCAGGUGAUUGGAUUAGGACCCACCCUAAUCCAGCAUGAUCUCAUCUGGAUUAUAUCAGCAAGGCCUUGUUUCCAAAUAGGGUCACAUUCACAGGUACUGAGGACUUGGGCUUGAAAAUGUCUCUAGGGGAUGCAGUUCAACCCACAACAGCUAAUAAGUGGUGGGCCUGGUGUUCUGAACACUCAUCAGUCAGCUGCAGAGUGGAGUCUCCAUGCCCCAGGGACCAGUAAAGAUGACCCAUUGGAAGUGUGAUGGAAUCUCCCUCUGUCGCCCAGGCUGGAGUGCAGUGGCACCAUCUCGGCUUACCGCAACCUCCGCCUCCUGGGUUCAGACAAUACUGCUGCCUUGGCCUCCUGAGUAGCUGGGAUUACAGGAAUCAAGGUUGCUAAGAGACCACCUGUGCUGAAUGCACUUUGUUCUGGCAAGAGCAGAAAACUGAGAAGCCGUGUUACCUACCACUACCU